rnacentral:lncRNA from 1 species
AGAAAAUCAAGCAGAUAAAUCAAUCAUUCCUAAUUCUCUUCUAAGUUGAGUGAACCUAUCCUCACUAAGUGGUUUAGUAAAAAUGUCCGCUAAUUGAUUACAAGUGUCCACAAAUUCUAUAGUGACAUCUUCUUUUUGAAUAUGAUCUCUAAUAAAAUGAUGUCUAAUUUCAAUGUGUUUAGUUCUAGAAUGUUGAAUAGGAUUUUUAGAUAUGUUGAUGGCACUAGUAUUAUCACAUUUGAUUGGAACUUGUUUUUGAUGUACUCCAAAGUCCUCAAGGGUUUGUUUCAUCCAUAAAACUUGUGCACAACAACAACCUGCCGCGAUGUACUCGGCUUCGGCGGUUGAAAGUGCAACCGAAUUUUGCUUUUUCGAAGACCAUGAGACUAAGGAGUGACCAAGAAAUUGACAAGUCCCACUCGUACUUUUCCGAUCAACUUUGCAUCCGGCAAAGUCGGCAUCUGAAAAGCCAAUGAGAUUAAAAUUAGUGCCCUUGGGAUACCAUAACCCUAAGUUGAGAGUCCCUUUAACAUAUCUAAGAAUUCUCUUUACAGCCACUAAGUGUGACUCCUUAGGUUGAGCUUGAAACCGAGCACACAAGCAAACACUAAACAUAAUGUCCGGCCGACUCGCGGUAAGAUAAAGUAAACUGCCAAUCAUACCUCGGUAGAGUUUGAUAUCAACAUCCUUGCCUUUUUCAUCCUUGUCAAGUUUAGUUGAGGCACUCAUUGGAGUGUUCGUCUCUUUUGAGCUUUCCAAGCCAAAUCUUUUGAUUAGGUCUUUUGCAUACUUGGCUUGAUUGAUGAAUAUUCCAUCUUUCAUUUGUUUAACUUGGAGUCCAAGGAAGAAUGAGAGCUCGCCCAUCAUGCUCAUUUCAAACUCAUUUUGCAUUAGCUUAGAGAAUUCUUUACAGAGAGAUUCAUUAGUAGCACCAAAUAUAAUAUCAUCCACAUAAAUUUGUACAAUGAGAAAAUCUUUAUCCUUAAUUUUGAUAAAUAAUGUGGUGUCAACUUUUCCUCUUGAAAAAUUAUUUGAAGUAAGAAAAGUGCUAAGUCUUUCAUACCAGGCUCUAGGAGCUUGUUUUAAACCGUAAAGUGCCUUUGAAAGCUUAAAAACGUGAUCCGGAAAGUUAUGUUUUUCAAAACCGGGUGGUUGCUCAACAUAAACUUCUUCGGAAAUAUAUCCAUUUAAGAAAGCACUUUUUACAUCCAUUUGAAAUAAUUUGAAAUUCAUAUAAGAAGCAAAUGCUAGAAGAAUUCGAAUAGCUUCAAGUCUAGCAACCGGUGCAAAUGUUUCAUCAAAAUCAAUUCCUUCAAUUUGGUUGAAACCUUGGGCCACUAGUCUAGCCUUGUUUCGAACCACAACACCUGAUUCAUCUCGCUUGUUUCGGAAGACCCAUUUAGUGCCAAUAACGGUAUGAUCACUUGGCCUUUCCACAAGCGUCCAAACUUGGUUCCUCUCAAAUUGGUUAAGUUCUUCUUGCAUCGCAAUGAGCCAAUUUUCAUCAUUGCUAGCUUCAACAAAAUUUUUAGGUUCAAUUUGAGAUAUGAAAGCCAAGUGGUCACAAAGUAAUCUAAGAGAGGAUCUUGUUUUGACUUUUUGACUUGGAUCUCCAAUGAUGGAGUCCUUGGGAUGAUAAGUGGCGAAUUUCCACACUUUAGGUAAGGGAGUGGGUUCAAUCUCUUUAGAGAUUAACUCCUCACUUUUCUUAGAUGGUUCAACUUCUUGGGGUGUGGAGUUUAUAUUUAGCUUCUCAAAGUCAAGAAGAUCAUCUUCAUAAGAAAGAUCCUUUCCCUUAUAUUCUUCAAAAAGAAUAUGCAUACUUUCCUCUAUUAUUAAAGUUCGUCGAUUAUACACUCGAUAAGCUUUACUAGUAGAGGAAUAACCCAAGAAUAUAGCUUCAUCGGAUUUAGCAUCAAACUUUCCCAACUUGUCUUUUGUGUUUAAAAUGAAACAUUUACAACCAAAAAUUUUGAAGUAACCAAUAUUGGGAGUUCUAUUAUGCCAUAAUUCGAAAGGAGUUUUCUCAAGGAUUGGUCGAAUUAGAACACGAUUCAUAAUAUAGCAAGCCGUGUUUACGGCUUCGGCCCAAAAAUAUUUAGGCAACUCCCCCUCAAUUAACAUAGAUCUAGCCAUUUCUUGGAGAGAUCUAUUUUUGCGUUCAACGACCCCAUUUUGUUGAGGUGUUCGAGGGGUAGCAAAUUGAUGUUCUAUUCCCAAUUCAUUGCAAAACUCUUCAAAGUUAUGAUUUUCGAAUUCACCUCCAUGAUCACUUCUAAUUUUGGAAAUUAUACAAUUCUUUUCAUUUUGAACACGAUAGACAAAGUCCUUGAAGGAUUUAAAAGUAUCAUACUUGUGUCUUAAAAAUAAAGUCCAAGUAAAUCUUGAGUAAUCAUCAACAAUUACGAAAACAUAGUUGCUUCCACCAAGGCUAGAGACAUCAAUUGGUCCAAAGAGAUCCAUAUGAAUUAACUCUAAAGGCCUAGUUGUUGAGACAACAUUUUUGGGUUUAAAAGAUGAUUUUACUUGCUUAGCUUGAGCACAAGCAUUACAAACCUCACCUUUGGCAUAGUCUAUUUUAGGUAAUCCUUUCACAAGUUUUCUUUUGGAAAGUUUAGAAAGAGAGUCCAUAUUAGCAUGUGCUAACCUUCUAUGCCAAAGCCAAGAUUCGUUAGUUUGAACUGAAAAACAUUUUUCACCUUCAUGUGAGAGUUUGCCUAAAUCAACGGUAUAAACAUUCUUGGAUCUAAAACCCAUAAAAGCUACCUCAUUUGUAGAAGGAUCAAGAAUGCUACAAUGAGAUGCUUCAAAUUUUACAAAAUAGCCUUUAUCACAUAAUUGACUAAUACUUAGUAAAUUAUGUUUAAGGCCAUCAACUAAAAGAACAUUGGAAAUGUUAACCUUUUCAUCACCGAUUGUGCCGAUUCCAAUGAUCUUUCCUCUAGUGUUGUCUCCAAAGGUGACAAAUCCUCCAUCUUUCAUUUCAAUUGAUUUAAACUUGGUUUGAUCCCAAGUCAUGUGUCUUGAGCAUCCGCUAUCUAAGUACCAUUUGUCACUUGCACCUUUUGAUUGGAGACACACCUACAAAAACAAAUCAAGUUUUUAACUUUGGUACCCAAGUGAGAUUGGGUCCUUUUGUGUUAGAUAAACCUUUCACAACCCAAAUUUGGUUAAGUUUAGGAUUCUUCUUAUAUUUACAAGAGGAAAUAUGAUGUCCUUUAAUAUUACAAUAGGAACAAUGCAAAGUUGGGUUUUGAGUUGUACUUUUAACAAAAACCUUUCUCUUAGCUUUUGUCAAUUUAACAUUGUUUGGAUUAGGAGCAUAACCUAUCCCAAACUUUUUGAAGUUUACAACUUGAUUUCCAAGCAUCAUAUUUAGAUACUUGGUUCCUCCAACGAAUUUCUCAAGAGUUCUCUUAGUUUCACCUAAGCUAACUUUGAGUUGUUGGUUUUCAACUUGAAGUUUUUCAAAUUGUUUGUCAUAAUGAAGAAUUGGCUUAAAAUUUAGAUCUUCAAUUUUCUUCUUUAAUGCUUCAUUUUCACGAAUGAGACUACAACAUGUCUCAUUAGCUUGUUUAAGCUCUUUCGUGAGUAAAGAGUCCUCAUUUUCAAGUAUUAAAGAAGGAUUUGAAGUUGAAAAUUUUAAGUUGUUAACCUCCAUCUCUAAUAAGGCAUUUUGCUUUUUGAGAGAUGUAUACUUGGGACCCAAACUUUGUAGAUUAUCAUAUAAAGAAAAGAAAGCUUCUAAAAGUUCUUCAUAACUUAAAUUGUUUACCUCAUCUUCAAGAGCCAUAAGACAUAGGAUUGAGCUUUGCUCCUCGAGGCAAAUUUGGGCAACUUCGUUUUCCGAUUCAUCAUCGCUAGAUUCGUCGGGGGCGUCCCAAUUUAGUGCAUUGAAGGCUUUCUUUUUCUUGUCUUUCUUAAAGGUUUUGUUUGGAAGAGUGCAUUCACUUUUCAAAUGUCCCGGUUUAUUACAAUUGUAGCAAAUGAUACCUUUCUUGAAUCCUUCACCUUUGAACCCGUCUCGUUUAGGUCUCCUCAAGUUGCGCUUCUUGAUUAGUCGAUCGAGCCUUUUUGAAAUCAUAGCGAUUUCUUCGCUCGAACCUUCUUCGCCAUCUUCACUCUCGGAAGCAAUGACUCCCUUAAGUGCAAGGCUUUUCUUUUUCUCAGGAGCCUCUUCGUUGUCAUAUUCUUUGAGGCGUUGUUCAUGCGCCAUGAGUGAUCCAACAAGUUCAUCAAUUUUUACUUUGUCCAAGUCAUGAGCUUCUUGGAUAGCCGUAACCUUAGGUAUCCAACUUCUUGGUAGUACACGAAGAAGUUUUCGUACCAAGUCCGAUUGAGGAAAAUCCUUACCUAAGGCUUUCAAGCUAUUUAUAAUGUUAGUAAAUCUUGUGAACAUAUUCGAAAUGGAUUCACUUUCCUCCAUUUUGAAUAGUUCAUAAUUUGACAUAAGCAUGCUUAUUUUAGAUUCCUUCACCCUAGAAGUACCUUCAUGAGUAACUUCUAAUUUAUCCCAAAUCUCUUUAGCCGUUGUACAUGUAGAGAUUCGGUGAAACUCUUCUCUACUGAGAGCGCAAAGGAAUGAAUUGAUAGCUUUAGCAUUCAAUUGAAAGCGAAAUUUUUCGGCUUCAUUCCAUUCCGCUCUUGAUUUUGAUGGAGCGAUAUAACCACUUUCGAUUAUAUCCCAAAUAUCAAAAUCUAGAGAUUGAAAGAAUAUCUUCAUUCUAAUCUUCCAAAAAGGAUAAUCGGUCCCAUCAAAAAAUGGUGGCCGAACAAUAGAUUGUCCUUCGAUAUUCUUUCCCGUGGAUGCCAUUCUCACUUAGAUUUUAAUCUAAAUAAUGUGAGACCUCGCUCUGAUACCAAUUGAGGAUCAAAAUGGCAACCUAAGAGGGGGGGUGAAUUAGGUUUCUAAAAUAAAAAUCCAAAUAAUCAAGCAAAUUAAAAAACCGAUGCAAAUAAAAGAAAUGCAAACUCGAAAAGCACACGAUCAAUUUGUUUCGAGGUUCGGCACUUUGCCUACGUCCCCGCCAACUUCUCAACACUCGAGAAUGUUGGAUCUCCACUAGAUGAUGCUUUUGCGGGCAAGCACCAAGCCUUCACAUCAACUCCUUCUUCUUUCAAGCUUCAAGAAUUUGCUUCUCUCUCUUUUUACAAGAUUAAAUCUCACUACAAGUUUCACUCAAGUUUAGAGAGAGAAUUGAGAGCUAAGAGUAUUAAGAUCACUGAAGUUUUUAAGCUCAAAUGAACUAUCAAGUUGUUACUGAGAGAGGCCUCAAUAUCAUCUAUUUAUAGCCUCGGGCAGCCUCUGUCGGUUGCACUUUCGGGCGCCCUAAAACUAUUUCCGGGCGCCCAGAAGUUUGUGCACGCCAGCUGCCUGUCGGACCACGUGCGCCGCUUUUCUUGACUUUGUAUGUUUGGGCCGUCAAAAAUUUGUGGGCGCCCAGAUCUCGAGGAACAGCUUUUCUGACACGCGCAGCUUUUCUUGACUUCGUAAGUUCUGGGCCGUCAAAAGUUGUGGGCGCACAGAACACGAGGAACCGCUUUUCUGACACGCGCCGCUUCCUCUGGAUUUGGGCCAUCAGAAAAUGUGGGCGCCCAGAUCUCGAGGGACAACUUUUCUGACAUGCGCCGUUUUUCUGGAUUCGAGCCAUCAAAAGUUGUGGGCGCCCAGAUCUCGUGCUGACUUUCUUGCCAGACAGCCCAGAUUGCGUGCGCCGCUGCUUCCGUAAAAUCUGGGCGCCCAGAUUUCGCGCCGCCUGUUGUCGCAACCUGUCAAGUCAAACAGUCUUUGUGUUUCUGGAUCACCCGAACAGCAAACAGGCAGGAUCCAAAAGGUCUCAAAAGAUUCGGAUCCACUUUCGGGCGCCCAGAACAGGGUCCAGAAAUUGCAACUUUACAGAACACAGAAUUUGAGCAAUUUUUGAAUAUUUAAAAGUCCUUUUCACCUAAUCAUAAAUUUAGAAAUUUGUUUAAGUGAUCUAUAAGGUGAUAAGAUGAAUAGUUUAAACUUAGCUCAAAAUUUCUCACUCUAAUCAUAAAGCAUAAUAUUAAUCAAAUUAAGAAUGGAGAGAGUGAGUUUGUCUAUUUGACAAAAGAAGCAAACACAGCUUCAAGUGGUGACGCUUGGUGCUAGACUAUUGUCCAUCUUGAAUCCUUUUUGAAGAUAGAGAGAUCUAAAACACAAGACUCAAGAUAAAAGAUUAGUCCAAUAAUCGUGAUUAUUUGUUAUCAUCAAAAUCUAAUAGACGAUUAGGGCCACUGGGCCAACAGACUUCUCACGGAAUGUUUGGGUGAAAUUUCUCAAGUCGAAAGGUGAGGCAUUUCAAGCAUUUAAGCACUUCAAGGCCGAAGUAGAGAAUCUCACCGGAUGCCGCAUUAAAGUUCUCCGAUCGGACAAUGGUUCGGAGAACAAAUCUAAAGAGUUUGAGCUCAUUUGUAAAGAGAAUGGCGUCUCAAGACACUAUACAAAUCCGUAUGAUGCACAACAAAAUAGGGUGGCCGAGAGGAUGAACCGUACAUUGAUGGAGCGGGCUCGUAGCAUGUUGAGCAAUGCCAGUUUGGAGCACGAGUUAUGGGCCGAGGCCGUGUCCAUGGCAUGCUAUCUUGUCAACCGCUCACCUUCUAUGUCUAUAAAUGGGGAACUCAUUGUGAUUAUUCUAAUGUAAAAAUAUUUGGUUGUCAUGCUUAUGCAUUGGUCCCUCGUUGUCAAAGAACUAAGCUAGAUUCAAGAUCAAGAAAAUGCAUAUUUGUUGGUUAUACAAAAGGUGUGAAAGGAUACCAGUGAUGGUAUCCGGUGGCCCACAUAAUUAUCACAAGUUGUGAUGUUCAUUUUGAUGAAUCAAAUGUGUUGAAAAAGGGUGUAGAACAUGAAAGCAUCGAGGAGGAAGAAAUUCGAAAUGAUACUCAAAAUUUUGAGCUACCAUCUUCAACUUUCUCACCAAAUGAAAAUAUUGAAUCGGAGGAUACACUGGUUGAAUAUGGUGAGGUCGAUGAUCAAAUCCAUGAAAAUUCUAAUGAAGGGGAAAGUUCUCAUGAAGGUGGAGAAAUAUAUGACUUGUCUCGACGUUCUACCAGAGAGUAGCACACACCUUUGCAUUUGAAUGAUUUUGUAGAUCCAAGUACAUUUCGGGCACUAAUUGUGGAAUAAGAAGAGCCAUGUACAUUUCUAGAAGCCAUAAAUUCUAUUGAUGCAAAGCAUUGGAAAGAAGCAAUGGAGGAAGAAAUUGUGGCACUUCACAAGAAUGAAGCUUGGAAUUUGGUGGAGUUACCAAAGAGCCGGAAAGCAAUUGGUUGCAAGUGGGUGUACAAAAUCAAAAGAGGAACCGAUGGGACAAUUCAAAGAUAUAGAGCAAGAUUGGUUGCUAAUGGCUUCGCACAAAAGGAAGGUAUGGAUUUCUUUGAAGUAUUUGCUCCCGUUGUUAAAUUGGUUUCUAUUCGGCUUGUUCUUAGUCUUGUUGCUAUGAAUGAUUUGGAACUUGAGCAAUUAGAUGUUAAAACGGCAUUUUUACAUGGAGAUUUAGAAGAAGAAGUUUAUAUAUAUCAACCUCAAGGCUUCAUAGAGAAGGAUAAGGAACAUCUUGUAUGCAAGCUCAAGAAAUCAUUGUACGGGCUCAAACAAGCAUCAAGACAAUGGUAUCGAAAGUUUAACACUUUUAUGCUAAGCCGUGGAUUCCAAAAAAGUAAGUAUGAUUAUUUGUCUACUUAAAAUUCUGCAAAGAUGGUACUUUUAUGGUUUUGGUGUUGUAUGUGGAUGACAUGCUUAUAGUAUGUAAGGACAAACUAAGGAUCAAUGAACUCAAGAGUGAAUUGAGUAAAGCCUUUGAAGUAAAAGAUCUCGGACCGGCACGUCAAAUUCUUGGCAUAGAGAUUUGGCGAGAUAGGCAAAAUGGCACAUUAUCACUUUCACAAAAAGGAUUUGUAGAAAAAUUGGUAUGCAAGUUUGGCAUGAGUAAAGCAAAGGUGUUAAAGACACCAUUUGCAUAUCACUUCAAAUUAUCUUCCGAGCAAAGUCCAAAGACAGAGGAGGAAAAGAAGUUAAUGAAUCAAGUUCCUUAUUCAAGUGUUGUAGGUAGCUUGAUGUUUGCCAUGGUGUGCACACACCCGGACAUUGCAUAUGCCGUUGGUGUUCUUAGCCGGUUUAUGGCAAACCCGGAAAGGUGCAUUAGGAAGCGGCGAAAUGGGUUCUUCGCUAUUUAAGAGGUACAAGUGUGUAAGGACUGAGAUUUUGACAGUGUAGCCAGACUCUCUGUUGACCAUGUUUUU